AAUAGGAAAACAAUACGAUUCAACAAACACACGGCAAAGAAGCAAUUUUACGGAAUGAGGUGAAUGCGAAAGGAAUUAAAACGCGUCUUUUUUUUUGUAAACACAAGCAAAACAAACGGGGAAGACGAGAAAGAGUAGAAAAGACGCGUAAAAGCAAAGGUAAAAAAAGGAUGGCAAGUGAGAGUAAGUGAGAUAGAGAAAAAAGAAAAGAAAGAAACACACACACACACAAAAAAAAAAAAAAAAGGAAGUGUAAAAUGGGAAAAGAGGAAAAAUAAACAAUGAAAAUUUGAGAAAGGAAAAAAAGAAAAGAAAACGAAAAAGAGAAAGAAAGGAAAAAUAAUAAGAAGAAAAAAAAAAGCAAUAGACAACGGAAAAGUGAUAGCUCCGAACCAGUGAAUGGAUGUAAGAAAUUGGGAAAAGGUCUCUUUUGUGAAAGGGGAAAAGAAAAAGAGAGAGAGAGCUUUUUUGGAUUGAUGGAAAGUGAAGUGGGAAGCGUAUCUGGAUGGGUACAGAAGAGAAAACAGGAAUGAGAAAAAUUAGAGAAAAGACAAAGGUUGGAGUGCGUAUUUAUAAGAGGAAUAGAUGGGAAGACUGCUAGGGAGCAACAUAAGGAGGGGAUCAAAAGAUCGACCAAGCUUUUGUCCGCUUCCGUGAUUUUGUUACGAUGGCAAGGAGGAAAAAGAAAAAAACAAACAUUAACGCACGUCAUGAGCAAAUGGGUUGUGACUUGCAGACAUGAAAGGGGGGGCGAGAGAGAAGUGGAGAAUGGGGACAAGAAACAGCGAGCCCAACAGCCUAAGGAUAAGCGCACAGGCUCAGGAGGUAGAAGGGGAGGGUUGGGGAGAAGCGAUUUGAGGGAUAAGUAAGGAAGCGAGAGGAGGAAGAGGGAGGAGAGAGGAAGGAGGAAAGAGAGAGAAGGAAGCGGAGGGAGAGAGAGGAAAGCGAGAGAGAAAGAGAAGGGGGUAUAAGAGAAAUGGCAGUAGGAAAACUGG